AGAAGAAACAGGUUAAAGAAUUAGAUGUGGUCCUCACAGGGAAUAUUUGCCCCUGGCCGCAGAUACAAAGGAUGCAUUUCAAGCUCUCCCAAGAACUCUUGCAGUGCUCCAUCCCUGUGUCCUCAGAAAUGGCCCUGAGUCUCAGCAGCUCAAAAAGACUCCAGUUGGAUAGUGAGAAGCCACUGCUUCCUUGCAAGAACCUUCCCAAAUUUCUCUAAUUUCUGGGAGAAUAACAAAAAGAAGGAAGAUUCAGUAGGAAAGGAAAGCAAUGAAGAAGCCAAGAAAGAGACAAGGAACCCCGGAAAGAGAGUCAGCAAAGAGAGAAAUAGAAACAUUAAUUUCAGAGGAGUUGGAAGUGUUGUGAACUAUUAAUCCUUUAGCUUUGCUUUGGACUUGAUAGCAAAAGUAGCUGCAUGCAGAAGUAAAAUUGUUAAGAAUGUCACAUAAAAUGUGAGGGUGAGCUCAGCAUGAAGGAACAGCCUCUUCCAUUGGUGAGGUGAAGAAACUGAAGACUUUAGCCAGAGCCAAGUGGCUAAUUCAGAGUUUAAUACACCUUUGACCUCAAACCCUUUGUGGUCACCUUUGAACAGUGCCUCCCUCUCUGAAAUAAAAUACUGGUUCUGUCAUUAAUUAUUAA
rnacentral:lncRNA from 1 species